rnacentral:lncRNA from 1 species
CAACUGCACAAACCCCGGCUUAUCCAAAUAGUGGCCGCGGGUCCAUCCAUCUUUAUCAGUGUAGCCUUCUUGAAACAUCCUAUAAAAGAAACGAGGUCAGGUUUAACGGCACUCACCAAACCCAAAAUUUUGAAAAUAUGCUUAUGCAACAUGAUGCAACGAUUCCUACGGACUCACAGACUCAUAUACACACUCGUAAAGAAAUUGGUGGCAUCGUAAUCUCUCCCUAAAUAACAGACUACCGAAUACUAGCGACAUGCAGCAAGCAGUUAGCAUCUGCAAAAC